CACAACGAUCAACACCAGAUUCCUGUUGCCUAUCCUCCUCCCAUGACCAUGGAGCCGCCUGUCGGAUAUCCAACAUCCACCGUUGAAGGAAAUCAUGUUCCGGCUGACACUCGUAGCAGGGGCGAUGGCUUCUGGAAAGGAUGUUGCGCGGCGCUAUGUUGCUGUUGCGUGUUGGAUGCCUGCUUCUGAAAUACUCUGAAAACAAUCACCAUAGAUGAUAUUUGUGUUGAUGUUUUUUUUUUAUACAGGGUUUGUUUUAAUAAAAAUAUACUAGUGCAAAUUCUUGUUUCUGUAAUCGAUUUUGUAUUUUUGUUUUUUUUUUUCUUUGUGUUUGUUCAAUUAAAUAAAAAAGAUAUUUUUAAUUAUAAUA